rnacentral:rRNA from 1 species
AUUGAACGCUGGCGGCAGGCCUAACACAUGCAAGUCGAACGAGUGGCGGACGGGUGAGUAAUGUCUGGGAAACUGCCCGAUGGAGGGGGAUAACUACUGGACACGGUAGCUAAUACCGCAUACCAUCGGAUGUGCCCAGAUGGGAUUAGCUAGUAGGUGGGGUAAUGGCGCACCUAGGCGACGAUCCCUAGCUGGUCUGAGAGGAUGACCAGCCACACUGGAACUGAGACGGGGUCCAGAGUCAUACGGAGGGAAGGAGGGGGGAAUAUUGCAGAAUGGGGGAAAGCCUGAGGCAGCCAUGCCGCGUGUAUGAAGAAGGCUUUCGGGUUGUAAAGUACUUUCAGCGAGGAGGCGUUACUCGCAGAAGAAGCACCGGCUAACUCCGUGCCAGCAGGCGCGGUAAUUC